rnacentral:rRNA from 1 species
CAGCAGGCGCGAAAACUUUACAAUGCCGGCAACGGCGAUAAGGGAACCUCGAGUGCCAGGUUACAAAUCUGGCUGUCGUGAUGCCUAAAAAGCAUUGCAUAGCAAGGGCCGGGCAAGACCGGUGCCAGCCGCCGCGGUAACACCGGCGGCUCGAGUGGUAACCGUUAUUAUUGGGUCUAAAGGGUCUGUAGCCGGCCGGGUAAGUCUCUUGGGAAAUCUGGCAGCUUAACUGUCAGGCUUUCAGGAGAUACUGCCUGGCUCGAGGCCGGGAGAGGUGAGAGGUACUUCAGGGGUAGGGGUGAAAUCUUGUAAUCCUUGAAGGACCACCAGUGGCGAAGGCGUCUCACCAGAACGGACCUGACGGCAAGGGACGAAAGCUAGGGGCACGAACCGGAUUAGAUACCCGGGUAGUCCUAGCCGUAAACGAUACUCGCUAGGUGUCGGCCACGGUGCGACCGUGGUCGGUGCCGUAGGGAAGCCGUGAAGCGAGCCACCUGGGAAGUACGGCCGCAAGGCUGAAACUUAAAGGAAUUGGCGGGGGAGCACAAGGGCGAAUGCG